GUCUAUGUCUAUACCACCUUAAAAAUACCUUAUCUCAUCUGAUCUUAGAUGUUAACCAGGGUCAAGCCUGGUUAGUAAAAAGAUAGGAGAUGAAAGGGUAGAUCAUGGCAAUGUGCU
rnacentral:rRNA from 1 species